rnacentral:rRNA from 1 species
GAUGACAAUAUAGUUUUAACAUCACAAAGUAUUUUAAAGGGGUUAUUAAGGAUAACUAGCAAAUUUAUAAAAAAAGGAGGUUAGUAACCAAAGGCCACAAAAAUUAAAUUUUAGUCGUAAGAUUCAAAUUUAAUUCACAAAAAUUGUGGCGAUCCUAAGGGAAACCUUUAUUAUUAUUACUUCCUGAAGUAAAUCAUUUCAGUAAGGAAAGGAAAGGAAAUCAACCGAGACUCCGAAAGUAAUGGUGAGUGAAAUCGGAUUAGCCUAAAUAAUUUCAUAAAUUGAAGUAACCAAAGGAGGUUAAAAGUCCUGUAGAUUUAUCAAAUUAUUUCUUUAUUUUAAACCAUAUAUUUUAUUUUUAACUCUGCUUCGCUCGGUUAAAAAUAAUAAUCUUUAUUUAUCAAACAAAAUAUUUUUGAAUGGUGUAGUCUGAUUAAUGUUGGUCACAAAAAAUAAAGUUUAUAAAGUACGAUGAGAGAUAACUUGUCGGAAUAUAGGGGAACCAUCCUCUAAGGCUAAGUAAUAUAAAUUUAGCGAUAGUGAAAAGUACUGUAAAGGAAAAGUUGAAAUAGCAUGUUAUAGACAUAGUGAAAUAGCCUUGAAUUAGUAACUCUAUAAGCAGUCGAAAUUUAUUAAUAAAUAAAUGACGGCGUACCUUUUGCAUAAUGGGUCAGCAAGUUAAUAGGAGUAGCGCGGUUAAAAGCCCUAGCGAAAGCGACUGGACUAACUAGCUAUAAUAAUAUAAGAUAAUUUUAUAUUAUAUAUGUAUUUUGAUAUUAUUUUAAUAUAAAAAAGGAUAAUGCCUUAUAGUUGAGUUUAUCUAAUAUAAACUCUUUAUAGGUUCAUUGUUUACUAGAUAUUAGUGUUGGAUAAGUUACUUCUAUUAGACCCGAAGCUAGGUGAUCUUCCCAAGACCAGAUUAUAAUGGAUCGAACGGGUGAAUGUUGCAUGAUUCUCCGAAGAGUUUUGGGAAGCGGUGAAAUGCCAAUCUGACCUAGUGAUAGCUGGUUUUCUACGAAACAUAUGUAAGUAUGACAUCUAUACAAAAUUUAUGGAGGUACAGCACUGAAUUCCAAAUAAAUUAUGCUAAUCUUUAAAAAAAAAAGUAAGGUAUAAUCAAUUUUUAGGUUGCGGGGACAAAGAAAUCCUACCGAUGGAAGAGAAUCUCGGAAUUACAUAAAUUGAUGGUAGAUAUUCAGACUGCUCAUGCUAAGUUGAGUAGUCAAGACGGAAACAGCCGAGAACACGAAUCAAGGUCCCCAAUGAUUAUUAAGUGAAAAUAAGGCAGUGGCAAGUUGAACACAGCUGUAAAGUGAGCUUGGAAGUAGCUAUCUUUUAAUGACCGUACAAAGUAACAACGUAACAGCUAGUAGAUUGUUGCACCGAAAAUUCAACGGGUCUAAAUAAUCAACCGAUAUCGUGUUGGUCCUGAAUAAAAAAUAAUUUUUUUACUCAGAAUCUAGGUAGUAGAACAUUCAGUAAAACUUAUCAUAAAACAGUGUUUCAUUGUUUUUAGGUAACUGAAGAGAUAAUGCUGACAUGAGUAACGUAAAAAGAAGUUAUAAUACUUCUCGCCGAAUACGAAAGGGUUGUAAGGAAAGGUUAAACCGCCUUAUGUAAUUGCGGCCUCUAAGGCUCAAAACCAAUGUUUUGGCUGAUGAGUAAAUAACCUAAAGUCCACUCUUAAAAAUCUAUUCCCAAUAUAGUAAAAAACUUAUUAGGAAUAGAUUACAGGCCCAGGAAAAUAAAGUUAUUAUUACUACCGUACCCUAAACCGACACAGGUUCGUAGGUAGAGAAUACUAAGGCGUAGAGCUAAAAGUUGUUAAGGAACUCGGCAAGUUCUCCUGCAUUGUGUUCUGGGAAAACACAUGAGCGGGUAAAGGUGGCACAGAAUCGGAGGCCCCGACUGUUUACUAAAAACACAAUUCAGAGCAAUGAUUAAUAUCAUAGUAUUCUGGAUGAAAUUUGCUCAAUGCCAUUAACACAAGAGAGGUGAUGGGAUGACUGUUACUAAUCGAACGUCUGGUGAAUAGCGGUCUUAACUAUGAGGAUCCUAAGGUAGCAAAAUCAGUUGGCCAUUAAAUGUGGUCCGGUAUCAGUAGUGUAACGAUGGUCUCACUGUCUCUACAACUUGCUCAGUGAAAUUGAAUUACCCGUGAAGAUGCGGGUUGCCUCCAGGUGGACGGGAAGACCCUAUGCAGCUUUACUGUAGUUAGUUAUCAUGUUAAUCUAGAACAACCUUGGUACUAGUGAUUAGGGAUGUCGAUAGACGAAAGGUGGAAUACCUCGAGACUAGGGUUGGGUUAAUAUUUACCUUAUACUUUGCAGGUAGAGGGAUAGGUGGCUAACUGGCAGUUUGACUGGGGCGGUCGCUUUUAAAAUAGUAUCAAAAUGCAUCCAAUGAUUUUAAUAAGCCGGAAGGCUACAUAAUAUUACUUCCUUUAAUUUACCCUUUUUUACCUGUUUAUGAUGCUUAGCUUUAGCAUCAAGCAAGGCUUCGCAGAGAGCCGGUAUUUAGGGUAGGUAGAUUUGGAAUUAAUAUCCAGACUUAAAUAAUCAAGCGAAUUGAUGAGUAAUUUUAUUACUUUUCUUCAACGAGCAACCUCCUGGUAACUCCAGUAGGACUAUUUAUUUUUUUCAAUUUUUAAAGGUAUAGCUAGAAAUUUGAAUGGAGGUCAAUCGACCAGUGGGAAAGGUCGUAAUGGUGCAAUGGCUUACAGCAUGCCUAACUGAAAGACUUAGGAGUCGCACAGAUACGUAAGUAGGGCAUAGUGACCCCUCGCUAUAUUAUGGGAUAGACGGGGAUCAAUCGAUAAAAGUUACGCUAGGGAUAACAGGCUGAUAGCUGGGGAGAGUACACAUUGUUCCAGCUGUUUGGCACCUCGAUGUCGACUCAACCUAUCCUCCUGGGGCAAAAGCUGGGAAGGGUUCGGCUGUUCGCCGAUUAAAAGGUUACGCGAGUUGGGUUUAAUACGACGUGAGUCAGUAUGGUCCCUAUCUUCUGGAGGGACAAAUAGUAAAAAGGGGGAGACCUUCUAGUACGAAAGGAUCAAUAGGCUGUGUUUCUCUAGUGUACCAAUUGUUGAAAUUAUUAAUUUAAGGAGGUGUAGUUAUGUAAUUAUUAAUACGUUUUUAAAAAAGAAAUUUUUUAAAAACUAUUAAUAAUUUAACCUGCAACCUUAUUUAAUUUUAAGUAAGCAUAGUUGGGUAGCCACAAACAUGAUAGAUAAGCGCUGAAGGAAUCAAAGCAGGAAACUAGCCCCUAGAUACUAUCAUUAGUUAAUUUAAUACCUAUUAAGCAUAUACUUUUUAGAUAUUGAAAUUACUCUAAUAUUAUAAGAAAUAGAACAUUUCUAGAUAGGAUGCGAAUGUAAGUA